GACGAACGCUGGCGGCGUGCUUAACACAUGCAAGUCGAACGGAAAGGCCCCUUUGGGGGUACUCGAGUGGCGAACGGGUGAGUAACACGUGAGUAACCUGCCCUUGACUUCGGGAUAACUUCAGGAAACUGGGGCUAAUACCGGAUAGGAAUCCUUGCUGCAUGGUGGGGGUUGGAAAGCUUCGGCGGUUUUGGAUGGACUCGCGGCUUAUCAGCUUGUUGGUGGGGUAGUGGCUUACCAAGGCUUUGACGGGUAGCCGGCCUGAGAGGGCGACCGGCCGCAUUGGGACUGAGAUACGGCCCAGACGCCUACGGGAGGCAGCAGUGGGGAAUAUUGCACAAUGGGCGGAAGCCUGAUGCAGCAACGCCGCGUGCGGGAUGACGGCCUUCGGGUUGGAAACCGCUUUCAGCAGGGGCGAAGCUUGUGGUGACGGUACCUGCAGAAGAAGCACCGGCUAACUACGUG
rnacentral:rRNA from 1 species